UGAAUUGUAGCUCAGUGAUAGAGCACUUGACUCGCACGCAUGAGACCCUGGGUUCAAUCCUCAGCACCACAU
rnacentral:tRNA from 1 species